rnacentral:tRNA from 1 species
CUGGGUGUAGCGCAGUUUGGUAGCGCGCGUGGUUCGGGACCACGAGGUCGCUGGUUCGAAUCCAGUCACUCGGACCA